rnacentral:rRNA from 1 species
UGCGUAGGCGGUUGGGUAAGUCAGACGUGAAAUUCCAGGGCUCAACCCUGAAACUGCGUUUGAUACUGCCUGACUAGAGUACUGGAGAGGAGACUGGAAUUCACGGUGUAGCAGUGAAAUGCGUAGAUAUCGUGAGGAAGACCAGUGGCGAAGGCGAGUCUCUGGACAGUAACUGACGCUGAGGCACGAAGGCGUAGGGGAGACAAACG